rnacentral:rRNA from 1 species
CAGGGAAUCUUGCGCAAUGGACGGGAGUCCGACGCAGCGACGCCGCGUGGGUGAAGACGGCCUUCGGGUUGUAAAGCCCUUUUCUGGGGGAAGAGAGAGGACGGUACUCCAGGAAUAAGUGUCGGCUAACUACGUGCCAGCAGCCGCGGUAAUACGUAGGACACGAGCGUUAUCCGGAUUUACUGGGCGUAAAGCGCCUGUAGGCGGUUCUUCAAGUCGUUUGUGAAAGCCCUGGGCUCAACAUGGGGAGGCCAAGCGAUACUGGAGGACUUGAGGAUGAUAGAGAUGAGUGGAAUUUCCGGUGUAGCGGUAAAAUGCGCAGAUAUCGGGAGGCACACCAGUGGCGAAGGCGGCUCCCUGGGUCACCCCUUACGCUGAGAGGCGAAAGCUAGGGGAGCAAACAG